AGGGUUUGAUCAUGGCUCAGAGCGAACGCUGGCGGCAGGCUUAACACAUGCAAGUCGAACGGGCACUUCGGUGCUAGUGGCAGACGGGUGAGUAACACGUGGGAACGUACCUUUCGGUUCGGAAUAAUACAGGGAAACUUGUACUAAUACCGGAUACGCCCUUCGGGGGAAAGAUUUAUCGCCGAUUGAUCGGCCCGCGUCUGAUUAGCUAGUUGGUGAGGUAAUGGCUCACCAAGGCGACGAUCAGUAGCUGGUCUGAGAGGAUGAUCAGCCACACUGGGACUGAGACACGGCCCAGACUCCUACGGGAGGCAGCAGUGGGGAAUAUUGGACAAUGGGCGCAAGCCUGAUCCAGCCAUGCCGCGUGUGUGAUGAAGGCCUUAGGGUUGUAAAGCACUUUUGUCCGGGAAGAUAAUGACUGUACCGGAAGAAUAAGCCCCGGCUAACUUCGUGCCAGCAGCCGCGGUAAUACGAAGGGGGCUAGCGUUGCUCGGAAUCACUGGGCGUAAAGGGCGCGUAGGCGGACUCUUAAGUCGGGGG
rnacentral:rRNA from 1 species